rnacentral:tRNA from 1 species
UGCGGGGUGGAGAAGUAGUAUCUCGCCAGCCUCAUAACCUGGAGAACGCAUGUGCAAUUCAUGCCCCCGCAA